AUGAAGACAUCUGUGAUGAAGAUAAAAACCUCAAUCUUUUUUACUGUUUGAAUGAGCUUAAUGAUCACUCUCUUGUGAAAGAUAUCAAAGAGCAACUGCGAUCAGGAAAACAGAAUUUUGAAGAUUACUCUGCUGCUCAGUGGUCUGCUCUGACGUUUGUGCUGUUGACGUCAGAUGAGAAACUCGAUGUGUUUGAUCUAAAAAAGUACUGGAAAUCAGAGAAAAAAGAGCCUGCACCAUUCAGGAAAAUAAAAUUAAAUAAAAUUAAAUAAAAAAAAAAAAUUGAUAAGUGGAACCAACAUUAAUUUGAACCUGAAUGAUAGGAAGAGAAAGAAUCAGCAUGUGAUCCAAAGGAAACAGCAUUGCCAUUACCAUAAUUUCCUUGGGGAUUAAUAAAGUAUUCUGAUUCUGAUUCCUUAUCAAAUGUAGUGUAGGAAAUGUUAUGAUAUGGGCAUGGAUGGCUGCCAGCAGAAUUGGGCCUCUAGUUUUUAUUGAUGAUGAAUGUCGAUAGAAGUAGUAUGAUGAAUUAUAAAGUGGACAGGGCUAUAUUCUCUGCUCAGAUCCAACUGCUAAAAUGAUUGGAUAGUGCUUCAUGGUGCAAAUGGAUAAUAAGCCAAAGUAAAUUGAAAAAGGAAAGAACUAUGAUAUUCUUCAGUGGCAGAGUCAGUGACCUGAUCUCAACCUAACAGAUCAGUCUUUUCAUGCUUUUUUCUUUUUUAACCACAGCCAUAACUUGAGAAGGAGGUGAUGUAGGAUUUUAUAAAUUAUGACAUAGGUACAAUUAGUAAAAGUUUGUAUUUCAGUGACCUUGAUGUAGAGGUCAAGGGCAGAAGUCAAGUUUUCUUGUUAUGUUGAAGAAUAGGUGAUGCAGGAUUAUCAAAUUUAUAUGAUAUGUGCAUCUGCUAGGAGGCUGAGGGGUAGCAGUGUGGGCUGCCAGUGUUUUUCACUGAAUACAAACUGAAUGCAGAGCAGCCACAAACAAGCAGCAGUUGAAGACAAUAUAGUAAAGGUCUGACAGAGCAUCCCAAGGGAAGAAACAGCAUUUGGGGAUUGGGUGGAAAAUGUUUUCAUCCAAGUAUUAAGAGCAAUACUUUUAUAUAAAAUUGUGUUCGUUUGUCCAAUUAAUUUUGAGUCUCUGAAAAUAGGAGGAAUCUAUAUAAAAAUGUAUAUAAUUUCUAAGCAAUUUUCUUUUGUUAAAUCUUACAGAUUAAAAUCUGCACUUUAGUCACAUCUUGACUGUUAAUUUCAAAUCCACAGCCACAGUUUUCUUUUUGUCUGUGUGUUUUGUUUUUUCACAAGUAACACUGAGGAUUUUGUGAAUAUGCUCACAAAAUUUACCUUAACAAUUGCUUCAGCCUCAGGAUGUCCAGUAGGAUUUCUGACUGCUGUUAUUUUCACAGGUUGAGUUGGUGCGAGCUAACCGAACAAUCUUGCAGUGCUCUGACAUCCUCAGUCCUGAGCUCUGCAUUCUCAAACCUGUCAGAGUUGGACAUGAGCCAUAAUGACCUGCUGGAUUUAGGUGUGAAACAUCUUGCUGAAGGCCUGGAGAGUCCACACUGCAAACUGAAGAUUCUCAAGUUGUCUGGUUGUCAGGUAACAGAGAAAGGCUGCUUUUUCUUGCCUCAUCUCUUUUGUCCAACACAGCCUCCCGUCUGGAACAUCUGGACCUGAGUUACAAUCAUCCAGGAGACAUUGGGACAAAAAGACUAACAGAUAUAGUUGAAGCUCCAGAAAUAAAGCUGAGGGCAGUGCUUUUGGACCACUGCGGAGCAUAUCGGUUAAAACCAGGGAUUAAAAAAUAUGGCAGAGAGCUGAAGCUUGAUGAAAA